AUACGAAGGGGGCUAGCGUUGUUCGGAAUUACUGGGCGUAAAGCGCACGUAGGCGGACUGGAAAGUUGGGGGUGAAAUCCCGGGGCUCAACCCCGGAACUGCCUCCAAAACUUCCAAUCUAGAGAUCGAGAGAGGUGAGUGGAAUUCCAAGUGUAGAGGUGAAAUUCGUAGAUAUUUGGAGGAACACCAGUGGCGAAGGCGGCUCACUGGCUCGAUACUGACGCUGAGGUACGAAAGCGUGGGGAGCAAACAGGAUUAGAAACCCUAGUAGUCC
rnacentral:rRNA from 1 species